GGGGACGUCGCCUAGCCCGGAUAAGGCCCCGGACUGUCGAUCCGGUGAUCGCGGGUUCAAAUCCCGUCGUCCCCG
rnacentral:tRNA from 1 species